rnacentral:lncRNA from 1 species
CUCCUUCCAAAUCCCCCUGCCCCACUCCCCACACCCACUUUGAGAGGCAUGCAGCCAUGGACCACUGAGAGUGGGAUUUCAAACACGAGUGAUGAAAGUGAUGUUAGGAAAGAGGAGGAGCUACAGUGGAGUCCUGCAAAGUAUUUGCCAUCACAGCCUGCAGCAUCUUUAAACACAUAACCUCAGUGUCUCCUUCCCUUGAGGGUAGCUAUCACCAUUGGAAAGAGCAAACAAAUCUUGGGAACAAGAUGCAAACAAAUAACAAAGAAGGAGGAGGAGAAUCAAUAUGGAUUGGUUCACAGGACCCACAGCAGAGGGACAGCUGGGUCUUUGAGUGAAGAGCUAAACAGUGGUGAUGUCUGAAUGGUCUUGAGUUUUCAGGAGCAUCUUUCAUUCUAAAGAAGCAACCCUUGAUGGGCUCCUGGACAGCUUCAGGGUGGAAGCCGGUCACCAAAAAGCCCAAGCCGUGAUUAGAAGCUUGGAACUUUCAGCCACACCCCACCCCUAUCCUCCAGGAAAGAAGAGGGGCUAGAGGUUGAAUUAAUAACCAUUCAUGCCUUCUUGAUUAAGCCUAAUAAAAGUCGCCAAAGUACAGGGUUCAGAGACCUGGGUUGGUGAACACAUCUAUGUGCCAGGAAGGUGGUGUGCCCUGACUCACUGGAGACAGAAGCUCCUGCAAUCAGACCCUUCCAGACCUCACCCUGUGUACCUCUUCAUUUGCCUGUUCAUCUGUAUUCAUUAUCAUAUCCUUUAUAAUAAGCCAA